rnacentral:rRNA from 1 species
GAGGUAAAGGCUCACCAAGGCGACGAUCCGUAGCUGGUCUGAGAGGAUGAUCAGCCACAUCGGGACUGAGACACGGCCCGAACUCCUACGGGAGGCAGCAGUGGGGAAUAUUGGACAAUGGGGGCAACCCUGAUCCAGCCAUGCCGCGUGUGUGAAGAAGGCCCUCGGGUUGUAAAGCACUUUCAGUGAGGAAGAACGCCUGGUGGUUAAUACCCAUCAGGAAUGACAUCACUCACAGAAGAAGCACCGGCUAACUCCGUGCCAGCAGCCGCGGUAAUACGGAGGGUGCGAGCGUUAAUCGGAAUUACUGGGCGUAAAGCGCGCGUAGGUGGCUUGAUAAGCCGGUUGUGAAAGCCCCGGGCUCAACCUGGGAACGGCAUCCGGAACUGUCAAGCUAGAGUGCAGGAGAGGAAGGUAGAAUUCCCGGUGUAGCGGUGAAAUGCGUNAGAGAUCGGGAGGAAUACCAGUGGCGAAGGCGGCCUUCUGGACUGACACUGACACUGAGGUGCGAAAGCGUGGGUAGCAAACAGGAUUAGAUACCCUGGUAGUCCACGCCGUAAACGAUGACGACCAGCCUGUUGGGUGCCUAGCGCACUUUGUGGCGAAGUUAACGCGAUAAGUCGACCGCCUGGGGAGUACGGCCGNCNAAGGUUAAAACUCAAAUGAAUUGACGGGGGCCCGCACAGGCGGUGGAGCAUGUGGUUUAAUUCGAUGCAACGCGAAGAACCUUACCUACUCUUGACAUCCUGCGAAUUUGGUAGAGAUACCUUAGUGCCUUCGGGAACGCAGAGACAGGUGCUGCAUGGCUGUCGUCAGCUCGUGUUGUGAAAUGUUGGGUUAAGUCCCGUAACGAGCGCAACCCUUGUCCUUAUUUGCCAGCGCGUAAUGGCGGGAACUCUAAGGAGACUGCCGGUGACAAACCGGAGGAAGGUGGGGACGACGUCAAGUCAUCAUGGCCCUUACGAGUAGGGCUACACACGUGCUACAAUGGUCGGUACAAAGGGUCGCCAACUCGCGAGAGUGAGCCAAUCCCGAAAAGCCGAUCUCAGUCCGGAUCGGAGUCUGCAACUCGACUCCGUGAAGUC